GCACGCUGCGUUCCUCAGUCCCCCAGGGCGAAUCCAAUAAAGAGCUAUAACACAGCCGAAACUGCUACCUUCUCUCUAUGCUUUUCCGCCCCGAAAAACUGAUGCGGGCCUGCCAAUCGAGUUGCCCCGAAUAGCAAGUAUCACUGCAUGUGUUUCCCUUCCAACAAUUUCACGUACUGUUAACUCUCUUUCCAAAGUGCUUUUCAUCUUUCCCUCACGGUACUUGUUCGCUAUCGGUCUCUCGCCAAUAUUUAGCUUUAGAUGGAAUUUACCACCCAAUUUGAGCUGCAUUCCCAAACAACUCGACUCUUCGAAAGUGUAUCACAAAGUAAUAGGCAUCCGCAUCGUGUACUGGGUUCUCACCACUAUGACGCUCUGUUCCAAGAGACUUGUAUGCGGUCUAUCACGGAAAACACUUCUCGAGAUUACAACUCGGACGUCGAAGACGCCAGAUUACAAAUUUGAGCUUUUCCCGCUUCGCUCGCCG
rnacentral:rRNA from 1 species